GCCGGAGUGGCGGAAUUGGCAGACGCCCGGGAUUUAAAAUCCCGUAGGAGUGAUCCUGUGCCGGUUCGAUCCCGGUCUCCGGCACCA
rnacentral:tRNA from 1 species